UACGUAGGUGGCAAGCGUUGUCCGGAUUUAUUGGGUUUAAAGGGUGCGUAGGCGGUUUUGUAAGUCAGUGGUGAAAUACUCCAGCUUAACUGGAGGGGUGCCAAUGAUACUGCAGAACUUGAGUACAGAUGAGGUAGGCGGAAUUGACGGUGUAGCGGUGAAAUGCAUAGAUAUCGUCAAGAACACCGAUAGCGAAGGCAGCUUACUGGGCUGUAACUGACGCUGAGGCACGAAAGCGUGGGGAGCGAACGGG
rnacentral:rRNA from 1 species